rnacentral:rRNA from 1 species
UGGGGGAUAUUGCACAAUGGGCGAAAGCCUGAUGCAGCGACGCCGCGUGGGGGAUGAAGGCCUUCGGGUUGUAAACUUCUUUUGCUCUGAACAAGGCAUGCCUUUGGGGUGUGUUGAGUGUAGGGGUUGAUUAGCGCCGGCUAACUACGUGCCAGCAGCCGCGGUAAUACGUAGGGCGCGAGCGUUGUCCGGAAUUAUUGGGCGUAAAGGGCUUGUAGGUGGCUGGUUGCGUCUGUCGUGAAAGCUCAUGGCUUAACUGUGGGUUUGCGGUGGGUACGGGCUGGCUUGAGUGCAGUAGGGGAGGCUGGAAUUCCUGGUGUAGCGGUGGAAUGCGCAGAUAUCAGGAGGGAUACCGGUGGCGAAGGCGGGUCUCUGAGCUGUUACUAACGCUGAGGAGCGAAAGCGUGGGGAGCGAACAGG